AAAGGGUCACUGGGACAAAAUGUAAGAUUGUUCUGUGCUUCACGCAGGGCCCUCGUGGAAGGAAUGGCAUCAAAGGGGACAGAGGAGGCAUGGGAGAGCCGGGGAAACCUGGCUUGCCAGGCCCUGUAGGGCAGGAUGGUGUUCCUGGACUGCCUGGACCAAAGGGAGAAAAGGGAGAAAAGGGGAUGGCAGGAAUUGGUAUUCCUGGCACUGCUGGCCCAAAGGGGGAAGAAGGACAGCAGGGGGUGAUGGGCCCUCCAGGAGUACCUGGACCAAAGGGACUUCCAGGACCUCCAGGGCAGAAGGGAGUCCAAGUUUUGGGACCACCAGGCAAGAAAGGUGUCAGGGUAAGUCCAUUAAUUAGCACUGCUCGAACAUUGCCUGAAAAAGCAAGGGAUGGACUAUGUUUCAAUACCUGAAUCAUAUAUCCCUUGUGAUAAAUGGGAGAGGAGAGGUUGGAAAAAUAGCAGUAAUCUUGCCCUGCUGAUAAUUCUUUUGCUUUUAUUAACAUUUUGUGCCUGUC
rnacentral:lncRNA from 1 species